UACAGAGGGUGCAAGCGUUGUUCGGAAUUAUUGGGCGUAAAGGGCGUGUAGGCGGUUUGCUAAGUCAUGUGUGAAAUCCCCCGGCUUAACCGAGGAACGACGCAUGAUACUGGCAAGCUAGAGUACCAAAGAGGGGGGUGGAAUUCCCGGUGUAGCGGUGAAAUGCGCAGAUAUCAGGAGGAACACCGGUGGCGAAGGCGGCUUGCUGGGCCUUACCUGACGCUGAGGAGCGAAAGCGUGGGGAGCGAACAGG
rnacentral:rRNA from 1 species